GGUGCUUGCACCGGGUGGAUGAGUGGCGAACGGGUGAGUAACACGUGAGUAACCUGCCCCUGACUUCGGGAUAAGCCCGGGAAACUGGGUCUAAUACCGGAUACGACUGCCGGACGCAUGUCUGGUGGUGGAAAGUUUUUUCGGUUGGGGAUGGGCUCGCGGCCUAUCAGUUUGUUGGUGAGGUAAUGGCUCACCAAGACGACGACGGGUAGCCGGCCUGAGAGGGCGACCGGCCACACUGGGACUGAGACACGGCCCAGACUCCUACGGGAGGCAGCAGUGGGGAAUAUUGCACAAUGGGGGAAACCCUGAUGCAGCGACGCAGCGUGCGGGAUGACGGCCUUCGGGUUGUAAACCGCUUUCAGCAGGGAAGAAGCGCAAGUGACGGUACCUGCAGAAGAAGUACCGGCUAACUACGUGCCAGCAGCCGCGGUAAUACGUAGGGUACGAGCGUUGUCCGGAAUUAUUGGGCGUAAAGAGCUCGUAGGUGGUUGGUCACGUCUGCUGUGGAAACGCAACGCUUAACGUUGCGCGUGCAGUGGGUACGGGCUGACUAGAGUGCAGUAGGGGAGUCUGGAAUUCCUGGUGUAGCGGUGAAAUGCGCAGAUAUCAGGAGGAACACCGGUGGCGAAGGCGGGACUCUGGGCUGUAACUGACACUGAAGGAGCGAAAGCAUGGGGAGCGAACAGGAUUAGAUACCCUGGUAGUCCAUGCCGUAAACGUUGGGCACUAGGUGUGGGGGGGCAUUCCACGUUCUCCGCGCCGUAGCUAACGCAUUAAGUGCCCCGCCUGGGGAGUACGGUCGCAAGGCUAAAACUCAAAGGAAUUGACGGGGGCCCGCACAAGCGGCGGAGCAUGCGGAUUAAUUCGAUGCAACGCGAAGAACCUUACCAAGGCUUGACAUACACCGGACCGUCCUGGAAACAGGUCCUCUUCUUUGAAGCUGGUGUACAGGUGGUGCAUGGUUGUCGUCAGCUCGUGUCGUGAGAUGUUGGGUUAAGUCCCGCAACGAGCGCAACCCUCGUUCUAUGUUGCCAGCAUGUGAUGGUGGGAACUCAUAGGAGACUGCCGGGGUCAACUCGGAGGAAGGUGGGGAUGACGUCAAAUCAUCAUGCCCUUUAUGUCUUGGGCUUCACGCAUGCUACAAUGGCUGGUACAGAGAGAGGCGAACCCGUGAGGGCAAGCGAAUCCCUUAAAGCCAGUCUCAGUUCGGAUCGUAGUCUGCAAUUCGACUACGUGAAGUCGGAGUCGCUAGUAAUCGCAGAUCAGCAACGCUGCGGUGAAUACGUUCCCGGGCCUUGUACACACCGCCCGUCAAGUCACGAAAGUCGGUAACACCCGAAGCCGGUGG
rnacentral:rRNA from 1 species